rnacentral:rRNA from 1 species
AGAGUUUGAUCCUGGCUCAGAGUGAACGCUGGCGGCAGGCCUAACACAUGCAAGUCGAGCGGCAGCACGGUAGCAAUACUGGUGGCGAGCGGCGGACGGGUGAGGAAUACAUCGGAAUCUGCCUUAUUGUGGGGGAUAACGUAGGGAAACUUACGCUAAUACCGCAUAAGACCGAAAGGUGAAAGUGGGGGACCGCAAGGCCUCACGCGAUAAGAUGAGCCGAUGUCGGAUUAGCUAGUUGGUGAGGUAACGGCUCACCAAGGCGACGAUCCGUAGCUGGUCUGAGAGGAUGAUCAGCCACACUGGAACUGAGACACGGUCCAGACUCCUACGGGAGGCAGCAGUGGGGAAUAUUGGACAAUGGGCGCAAGCCUGAUCCAGCCAUGCCGCGUGGGUGAAGAAGGCCUUCGGGUUGUAAAGCCCUUUUGUUGGGGAAGAAAUCGUACGGUUGAAUAUUCCGUGCGGAUGACGGUACCCAAAGAAUAAGCACCGGCUAACUUCGUGCCAGCAGCCGCGGUAAUACGAAGGGUGCAAGCGUUACUCGGAAUUACUGGGCGUAAAGCGUGCGUAGGCGGUUUGUUAAGUCUGUCGUGAAAGCCCUGGGCUCAACCUGGGAAUUGCGAUGGAUACUGGCAAGCUAGAGUACGGUAGAGGAUGGUGGAAUUCCCGGUAGCGGUGAAAUGCGUAGAGAUCGGGAGGAACACCCGUGGCGAAGGCGGCCAUCUGGACCAGUACUGACGCUGAGGCACGAAAGCGUGGGGAGCAAACAGGAUUAGAUACCCUAGUAGUCC